rnacentral:misc_RNA from 1 species
GAUGAAGAACGUAGUGAAAUGCGACACGUAAUGUGAAUUGCAGAAUUCAGUGAAUCAUCGAGUCUUUGAACGCACAUUGCGCCCCCUGGUAUUCCGGGGGGCAUGCCUGUCCGAGCGUCAUUGCUGCCCUCAAGCACGGCUUGUGUGUUGGGCCUCCGUCCUCCUCCCGGGGGACGGGCCCGAAAGGCAGCGGCGGCACCGCGUCCGGUCCUCGAGCGUAUGGGGCUUCGUCACCCGCUCUUGUAGGCCCGGCCGGCGCUUGCCGACACAUCAAUCUUUUUUCCAGGUUGACCUCGGAUCAGGUAGGGAUACCCGCUGAACUUAAGCAUAUCAAUAAGCGGAGGA